rnacentral:rRNA from 1 species
GUUAAGCGACUAAGCGUACACGGUGGAUGCCCUGGCAGUCAGAGGCGAUGAAGGGCGUGCUAAUCUGCGAUAAGCGCCGGUAAGGUGAUAUGAACCGUUAUAACCGGCGAUACCCGAAUGGGGAAACCCAGUGUGACUCGUCACACUAUCAUUAACUGAAUCCAUAGGUUAAUGAGGCGAACCGGGGGAACUGAAACAUCUAAGUACCCCGAGGAAAAGAAAUCAACCGAGAUUCCCCCAGUAGCGGCGAGCGAACGGGGAGGAGCCCAGAGCCUGAAUCAGCAUGUGUGUUAGUGGAAGCGUCUGGAAAGGCGCGCGAUACAGGGUGACAGCCCCGUACACAAAAGCGCAUGUGCUGUGAGCUCGAUGAGUAGGGCGGGACACGUGGUAUCCUGUCUGAAUAUGGGGGGACCAUCCUCCAAGGCUAAAUACUCCUGACUGACCGAUAGUGAACCAGUACCGUGAGGGAAAGGCGAAAAGAACCCCGGCGAGGGGAGUGAAAAAGAACCUGAAACCGUGUACGUACAAGCAGUGGGAGCCCCACCACUAAGCCAGUGGUGAACUCCACAUACGCAUCCUUUGCUGAGGAUACGGUUAACGGAGCGAAAGCGACGUUCAACCUCAAAAGAAGCAGAGGGGGCUUAGUGGUGGGGUGACUGCGUACCUUUUGUAUAAUGGGUCAGCGACUUAUAUUCUGUAGCAAGGUUAACCGUAUAGGGGAGCCGUAGGGAAACCGAGUCUUAAC